GGUAUCCUAACUGUGCUAAGGCAGCAUAAUCACUUGUUUCUUAAUUGGUAGCUGGAAUGAACGGUUGAACUUGUUUGACUGGUAUGAGCGUUUAAAUAUAAAAUUAGUCAAGGUAAGAAUUCUUUGAUGCCUUAGGGGACAAUAAGACCCUACAAGCUUAACAAACAUAUAUAUAACUUUAUAAUUUAAGCUAGUUUGUUUUACUGGGGCGGUGCUGGUGUUUUAACUACUAGCUGACUUAGGAUCCUUAAAAUAUAAACGGAGCGGGUAAGUUACUUUAGGGGUAACAGCGCAAUAAUUUUGGAGAGAUCUUAUCGAUAAGUAUAUUUGCGACCUCGAUGUUGAAUUAAAAUUUCUACGUGAAGCAGCAGGUGCAGUAGAGGGUUUGUUCAACCUUUAAAUUUUUACGUGAUCUGAGUUCAGACCGG
rnacentral:rRNA from 1 species